UACGGAGGGUGCAAGCGUUAUCCGGAUUCACUGGGUUUAAAGGGUCCGUAGGCGGCCCUGUAAGUCAGUGGUGAAAUCUCCCCGCUCAACGGGGAAACUGCCAUUGAUACUGCAGGGCUUGAAUUAUUGGGAAGUAACUAGAAUAUGUAGUGUAGCGGUGAAAUGCUUAGAGAUUACAUGGAAUACCGAUUGCGAAGGCAGGUUACUACCAAUGGAUUGACGCUGAUGGACGAAAGCGUGGGGAGCGAACAGG
rnacentral:rRNA from 1 species